UACGGGGGGGGCAAGCGUUGUUCGGAAUUACUGGGCGUAAAGGGUUCGUAGGUGGCUUGCUAAGUCAGACGUGAAAUCCCUCAGCUUAACUGGGGAACUGCGUCUGAGACUGGUGAGCUUGAGUGCAGGAGAGGAACGCGGAAUUCCAGGUGUAGCGGUGAAAUGCGUAGAUAUCUGGAGGAACACCGGUGGCGAAGGCGGCGUUCUGGACUGCUACUGACACGGAGGAACGAAAGCCAGGGGAGCAAACGGG
rnacentral:rRNA from 1 species